rnacentral:tRNA from 1 species
GAAAAAUUAGUUUAUUAAAAACAUUAAUUUGUCAAGUUAAAAAAAUUAUUUAUUAAUAUUUUUCU